UUUACCAGAGGCAAGCACAUCUCAGCAUCAAGAUGACAUGGGAAAUAAUGGAAGCACGGCGUUGUAUUUUUGAGGCCAACUAUGAUUUCCUUUACAUCUUUUUGCAUUUCCUUAAGAACAGCAUGGGGAGCAUGUUGAGCUGAAGCAAAAGGGGAGAAGAAUCUGCAUCCAGCAAUUAUGAGGUUACAGAAGUCUUGCUUAUAGAGUCAUUCUUUUACAGAAAAUUUGCUAAACAGCUGAACAGUUUUCCUAUCUCCCUUGGGGCUAUGUGUCAUGAUUCACAUCUACAAGUCCUAAGUUCAGACUCUGGUAAUUCCAGGUGUGGGAAGAUACUUACCUGAGAGUCAUGAUCGUUGCUGAAGGGACAAUAUUGAGCUACAUGGACUGAUAUUCUGACUUCAUAUAAGCAGAAAGAAGAAAGAGCAAGCACUGUGGAACAUUGUAAGAAGGUAUGGCAUCUCCCAACAGCACAACCACAUUUCCCAAAACAUAUUCCUCAACUCCAGCUGAUGGCAUCACUGUUUUUUUUAACAUUGGGACAAGGUUGCACCCUUUCAUCAUUUUUGUUCCUUCUCAUUGUAGACUUUGUCAUGAAGAAAGUAAUGAAUGGAAUGAAAAUUGGCAUUCAAUGGAAAGAUCAAUCUCGGCUCACUAACUUGGACUUCCCUGAUGACAUCGCCCUGUUGGCUGACUCCAAGGAAUGCCUCCAGAACAUGACUACUAACCUGGAAAGGGAGGCUGAGAAGAUUGGUCUCAGGAUCCGUGGUGACAAGACAAAGGUGAUGCCAACUGGAAAUGCCUCCAUGAACAUGCUGCUUUUGGUCAGUCAACAACGUAUUGAAGAAGUAGAAUGAUAUACUUACCUUGGUAGUGACCUGUGAUGGAGAUGUCGAAGCCAAUGUGAAUUGUAGAAUUGUCAAAGCAUCAGCAGUAUUCCAGAGGAUGUGCUAAAUCUGGUCAACAUCUACCAUCAAUACUAGGAUGAAAAUAUGACUCUUCAGCACCAUCAUUGUACCAAUUGCAAUUUAUGCCAGUGAAACAUGGAAGAUCACUGCAAGAAUAGUCCAAAAGCUGAACGUGUUACAGCAGCAGUGCCUUCACAAGAUUUUUGGAGUCACUUACCAUGACCACAUUACAAACGAGGAAAUUCUGCACAGAAGUGGUACACGGAGGCUGCAGGACAUUGUGAUAGACUGAUGAUUGUGUUUUGCUGGGCAUAUCUCACGCCUACCAGGUCACCGUCACCCGAAAACCACAAUGUGAUAGGUACCAUCUGGAGGACAGCGAAAGUGAGUUAGACAUGGAAGUCAUGGUGCCAGGACUUCAAAGAUGACACCCAGCUCAUCCUCAUGAUGGAGGGUUGACCAGCUUCCACCCCUGAUGUUCUCCAAUACUGUCUAGAAACCAUGGCAGGUUGGUUGAGAAUUAGCAGACUGAAGCUAAAUCCAGGAAAGGCAUAGGUUCUUUGGCUUAGUCGGGGGGACAGAUCUGUGGAUUUCCAGUUACUGACACUAAAUAGUGCAGCAUUACAUCUAUCUGCAUCAAUAAAGAGUCUGGGUGUGACCUUGGAUUCCAGCCUUUCGCUCGAGGCCCAGGUCACUAGGACAGCCCAGGCUGCCUUUUUUCAUCUGAGCCAGGUGCAGCAGCUGGCUCCAUAUCCCUCCAAGCCUGACCUAGCCACUGUAAUCCGUGCAUCAGUCACUUCGAGAAUAGGCUACUUUAUUAAUCGUUCUACAUGGGCCUUCCUUUGUCUUUGAUCCGGAAAUUGAAACUCAUCCAGAAUGUACCCACAAGGCUGAUUACUGGGGCAGCCAGUCACAAUCAUGUAACACUGAUCCUUAAACAUCUGCACUGGCUGCCAGUCGAGUUCCUGGUCAUCUUCAAAGUUUUGGUACUGACAUUAGAGGCCUUACAUGGAUCUGGAUAUCUUCAUGACCGCAUCUUCCCAUAUUGCCCUCUAAGGCCCCUCCACUCAUCAAAGGAGAAUCUUUUGUUGGUUCUUGAGAGAUAUCCGGCUGACUUGAACACGAGCCAGGGAUUUUCUGGCCUGGUGGAACAAAUUACCAGUUGAGGUUAGAGCCCUGCAGGAACUAUUUCCGUUCCACAGGGCUUGUAAAACCUGGUUGUUCCAAAAGGCCUUUUCCAGCUAGCCAGCUGGCACCAACAUCUCCUCUCAGCCUCUGAAAUGCGGGAGGGGGAGGGGGAGAAGUGGGAACUAGAUGGUAUGAUUUUUAAGUCACCAUCUAUCUUUUUAAUAA